rnacentral:rRNA from 1 species
UUCAGACUGCAGGCUGCAACUCGCCUGCACGAAGUCGGAAUUGCUAGUAAUCGUAGGUCAGCAUACUACGGUGAAUACGUUCCCGGGCCUUGUACACACCGCCCGUCAAACCAUGAGAGUUGGCAACACCCGAAGUCGGUAGUCUAACCGCAAGGAGGACGCCGCCGAAGGUGGGGUUNAUGAUUAGGGUUAAGUCGUAACAAGGUAUC